GCUGCCGGACAGGCGGUCGCCCGGCUUGCCGCACGGCAGGCGCGGGAGGAAAGUCCGGUCUCCACAGGGCAGCGUGCCGGCUAACGGCCGGGAGGGUUCGCUCACAAGCGGGCUUUACGGAAAGUGCCACAGAAAACGUACCGCCACGGGCGAGCGAUCGCUCGGGGUAAGGGUGAAAAGGUGCGGUAAGAGCGCACCGCGGCCGGAGCAAUCCGCGCCGGCAGGGCAAACCCCACGCGGAGCAAGACCAAAUAGGGGAGGAGGGACGGCCCGUCCCGUUCGACUUCCGGGUAGGUCGCUUGAGCCGGGCAGCAAUGCCCGGUCUAGAGGAAUGACCGCCGCCCCGGCGUGCCGGGGAGACAGAAACCGGCUUAUCGUCCGGCAGCCUCG
rnacentral:RNase_P_RNA from 1 species